rnacentral:pre_miRNA from 1 species
GUACAUCAAUAACAGCUGUGCAGCUGUUACAACUAAGGUCUCUGAUCUGGUUUUGCUUCCUAUUCGUGUUGGGAGCAAAGUUUCAGGUUCAAGAGACAUC